CAUGCCCCCUAGAGGUGUUACAGGUAUGGCUGCUAUGUCACAUGUGCAAUUGUAGGUGGCAGAGUUGAGAGAGCCUAUGUCUAGGCUCAGUGUUCUGACCUAUGGACAUCUGAAUGAUUAGUGGACUAACACU